rnacentral:rRNA from 1 species
AGAGUUUGAUCAUGGCUCAGGAUGAACGCUGGCGGCGUGCCUAACACAUGCAAGUCGAACGAGAAGCUAACUUCUGAUUCCUUCGGGGAGAUGAAGUUGGUAGAAAGUGGCGAACGGGUGAGUAACGCGUGGGUAAUCUACCCUGUUUAGUGGGGGAUAACCCUCCGAAAGGAGGGCUAAUACCGCAUAAGGUCUUCGCUUCUUAAGAAGUAAAGAUUAAAGAUGGCCUCUAUACUAUGCUAUCGCUUCAGGAUGAGCCCGCGUCCUAUUAGUUAGUUGGUAGGGUAAUGGCCUACCAAGGCAACGAUGGGUAGUCGGCCUGAGAGGGUGUACGGCCACACUGGAACUGGAACACGGUCCAGACUCCUACGGGAGGCAGCAGUGGGGAAUUUUGCGCAAUGGGCGAAAGCCUGACGCAGCGACGCCGCGUGAGGGAUGAAGGUUCUCGUAAUUGUAAACCUCUGUCAGGAAGGAUUAAAUGUGCAAAUGCUAAUAUCAUUUGUACUUGACUUAACUUCCAAAGGAAGCCCCGGCUAAAUACGUGCCAGCAGCCGCGGUAAUACGUAUGGGGCAAGCGUUACUCGGAUUUAUUGGGCGUAAAGCGAGUGUAGGCGGUUAAAUAAGUCAGUGGUGAAAUCCCUCAGCUCAACUGAGGAAUUGCCUUUGAUACUGUUUAACUUGAGGACAGGAGAGGAAAGUGGAAUUCCCGGUGUAGCGGUGGAAUGCGUAGAUAUCGGGAAGAACACCAGGGGCGAAGGCGGCUUUCUGGACUGUUCCUGACGCUGAGACUCGAAAGCUAGGGGAGCAAACAGGAUUAGAUACCCUGGUAGUCCUAGCUGUAAACGAUGGAUACUAGAUUUUGCAAGUAAUUGCUAGAUCGAAGCUAACGCAUUAAGUAUCCCGCCUGGGGAGUACGGUCGCAAGGCUAAAACUCAAAGGAAUUGACGGGGACCCGCACAAGCAGUGGAGCAUGUGGUUUAAUUCGAUGCAACGCGAAGAACCUUACCUGGGCUUGAACUGUAGGCAUAGCCACCUGAAAGGGCUGGUUAUCCUCUUCGGAGGAACCUAUAGAGGUGCUGCAUGGCUGUCGUCAGCUCGUGUCGUGAGAUGUUGGGUUAAGUCCCGCAACGAGCGCAACCCCUGUCUUUAGUUACCAUCAUUAAGUUGGGGACUCUAAAGAUACUGCCCCGGUUAACGGGGAGGAAGGUGGGGAUGACGUCAAGUCCUCAUGGCCUUUAUGUCCAGGGCUACACACGUGCUACAAUGGGCUAUACAAAGGGUCGCAACCCCGCGAGGGUGAGCCAAUCCCACAAAGUAGCUCUAAGUUCGGAUUGGAGUCUGCAACUCGACUCCAUGAAGUUGGAAUCGCUAGUAAUCGUGGAUCAGCAUGCCACGGUGAAUACGUUCCCGGGCCUUGUACACACCGCCCGUCACACCAUGAGAGUUGGUUGUACCAGAAGUCGUUGGGCCAACCCCGUUAUGCGGGGAGGCAGGCGCCUAAGGUAUGGCUGAUGAUUGGGGUGAAGUCGUAACAAGGUA